AUAUCAAUGAACCACAUGAUUGAUCAGUUCAUAUUACAAGUUCAACGUCAUUGUGUUGAAUAGUAGAAGCAUCUUAGGCACAUUUAUCUCAAUUAUAACCUAUUCUGUUAAACAGUAUUUUUUGUUGAACACGUAAUAGAAUAGGGUUAUCAUGUACAAAUAUCAUACUUUUUCUACGCACCAAACAAGAAUAAAAGUGCAUGUGCCUUGGUAAACAUCUUCAUCAAAUAGAGUAACUUUUAUUGGACAUCUUGAAAGCAUUAUAACUAAUGAAAAAAGAAGUUAUGAUCAACAGAUACAUUUCAAGUUCAGUGCUUUCUCUCACUGUUGAUCUUGACAUUUUACAGGGACAUUAUAUUUUGAUGAGGGGACCAAGGGAUUAGAAUAGUACCACUCGACCAAAUCCCUUUGCAAUUAUGGAAAAGUAUUGAAGUAGUUAUUUACGUAGGUUCAAGAUAGAGGUUGACAGUCUUAGAAAACAUGCCUUGGCAGUAUUGAAGGCUACGUUCUUGCAGUCAGGGAAGAUGCUGAUCGAACUCGGAGGUAAUCCAUAUGUUACAUUUUGAAACACAACCAAUGUGUCCGUUUUGCUGUCAUUGUUCAUCAGGAAGGCUGCACAUCCUCCCGAUUUUGUUUGAAAGACAACAGCCGGGAUUUUAAAUAAUUGACCGAUGUCAUACAUUAUAGUUUAAACCAUGUUUAAUCUUGAGAAAGGAAGAUCACUGGUGAAGAAGAUGACGACGAUCGAGUUCCAUUUUAGAGCUAUUUUUAAUCGUGAAAGGAAGUCAAUGGUAAAGAAAACAAAGUCGAGUUACAAUUUAUUAUGCUCUUACCUCUUGUUGUUCACCCAAACAUGAUGAAGUUGGUGUUCCCCGAAGUAAAGGCUCUGAACAUAGUUUUAUUGCAGCAUGUAAAUCUUUCAGAUGACCCCACUUUGGUUGCUGAAUUAAGCCUAAAUUUAUCAAUUUUUGGGAUC